GUUUGACAGCUCGCAAUGUUCCUUAGCAGCAGACGAUCACAGGGGAGCUGUCAUUUCCUUGUGUUUGUCUGCUCCUAUCUACUCGUGGUGGUGGUGACGGUCCAUACAGCUCCUACCAUCUCUUUCCCUCCCUUCCCAUACCAUACGGACCCUCCCCACUAUCUCAAUGUGCUUGUAAUGCCCUUAAUGUGAUGUCCGUUAUGAGGGGGAUGGGCUGAAUGUGCUGGAAGUGGUCUAGUGUCUCUCGCCUCGUGUUAUUUUCUCCCUUUUUUACGGGGUUGGUGUGAGGUUAGAGUUUAUAGGCUAUAUGUUGACCUUUUAUGUGUUGUUGUGGGUGAAUAGGAGGAGUAAUUUCUUUGAUUUGUUAGAGAACUGAGGUGCUGGGAGUAGUUUUUUUCCUCCCUUCAUGUUUUACUCUAUCUUGUACGGGGUGGGUAUGAGGGUAGAGCAGUUUAGGUUAUAGGUUGGCCUGUUGGCGUGUGUGUGUGUGUAGAUAAGAGAUGUAGCUUGAUUUGCGAAGAGAAAGGUCCAGAAGUAGUUUACCUAUAGUCUUAUGCCUCAUGUUUUACUCCUAUCUCAUGUAGAGCAGGUUAGCUAAGAGGUUAUUAGGUUAUAGAGUGGCCUUUGUAUGUGUGUAGGUGAAGGGAAAUAACUAAGAGACACAGAGAAACUUAGAGCAGUGUAUUCUCUCGCUUCGUUUUUCUCUCUUAUCUACGAGGAUAGUGUGAGGGUAAAGCAAGUUAGGUUAGAGGCUGUUAGGUUAUAGAUUGACCUUUUGUGUGUGUUAGUGUGAGUGAAUAAUAAAAACAGUUUGACUUGUUUUGUUAGAGAAUUGGGGUGUUUGAAAGUAGUCAAUCUCUCGCCUCUUAUUCUCUCUUUCCUGCGGGGAGGGUGUGAGAGUAGAUCGAGGUUAUGAGGUUAUAGACCAUUUGUGAUUGAUUGAUUGAUAGUUUAUUGUUGCAGGUAAACAACAAUGGAGAAGGGAGGAACAUGCCAUCCCAACCCCCAGGCAGGACAGAGUGUGUAUAGAUGUAGGUUACUAAGAAAUAGGGAGAGGAAAUGAGAUCAUGGCAAUGGUUUCUCUCCCCACAUGUUCACCACUUUUUUUUACGGGGAAAGUGUGAGGGUCAGACAGGUUAGGUUAAAGGCCACCAGGGUCGUUACUGUUGACCUUUUUGUGUGUGUAGAUGCUGGUAAAAAAGGGACUUUGGUUGGCAUGUUUUGACAGAUACACCCACGUGUUCGUUAAAAACUAGGUUGCGAUGUUGUUUGUGUGUAUCCAAAGUAACGUCGUAGAGAGAGAGAGAGAGAGAGAGAGAGAGAGAGAGAGGAAAACUGUUAUCAAUAGGAAAAUACCAGCCACAAUAAAAAUAGCAGGUGGCCCUGAUACUCCCCCAGCGGCAGGCCGUUGCCCGCUCAUCGAAAUACCGUAUUUGUAUUAAAUUGCACUAUGUAAGAUCUAGAAAUAAAGAAAGAAGAAAAAUAGGGAAAGGGAAUCUUCCAGUCACACGUUGUACAUCGAACCUAGUCUUGUGAAACGUGGGAAGGGUGACUGGUGGUGAUAGUGGUGGUGGUGGGGGUGGUGGGAAAGUGAUAGUGGUAAACUGGUGGUGGUGGGAGGAACAGGAGCGGAUGGAUGGGGGGGGAAAUGUGGGUGGUGAUAAAAAGAGGUGAUAAUUCAUGUUUCGUGAUGAUAAUAAUGAUGAAAAUAAUGAAAAUACCUAUAAUGAUAAUAGUGAUAAUAAUGAUAAAAAUAAUAAUUCAAUAAUGUUUUAAUCUACGAGGGAUAUCAUUUGCUGUUAUUAUUAUUGUUAUUAUUAUUAUCAUUAUUAGUAUUUUUCGUAUUGUUAUUAUUUGGUGUUCAUUUCAUCAUUAUAACAAUUUUCUUUUCUGCAUUCAAUAAUCUCCUCUGUCGUUUGUAUGAUGAGAGAGAGAGAGAGAGAGAGAGAGAGAGAGAGCGACCACACGCCGCUACGCACACACGGGAAUUCUAAGAGACCAUUCAUAUCGACUACAACAGCUUUGUGAGUGUGUAUGUACUGCGUGGUAAUCUCCCUCUCUCUCUCUCUCUCUCUCUCUCUUAACGCCAAUUACCCCAAACCGCGCCGUGGAAGCUGACUGGCCAGUAACAGGCACCCGUAACGAGGGCAGGUAAAUGGCUAUACAUAUUCAUACGUUAUUUUCCAGGUAUAAGUGGAGGAGCGAUUUGCGUCUCUGCUCUAAAGUGGCGCCCAGCUGCUUGAUCGAUUCCCCUUUUCAAUUAUUAUUUUUUCUCUACUGCGUUGUAAGGAAGGGACUGGAGGAGGGGAGGAAGGGUAUGCAGAAGAAAGUGUGGUAGGGGAAGAAUAAUGAUAAAGUUGAGGAUAAUGAAUAGAAUGACGCAAAAGAACAGAAGUGAAGGAAAUAAUAGAAAAAAUAGAGAAUUGAUAUAGCGACCAAGGAAGUAUAUGAGAAAGAAAUUGCUACAGGGUAAGAAUAAAAAUAGAAUUGAAGAUAAGAAGAAAGUGUGGUAGGGGAAGAUUAAUAAUAAAACUGAGGAUAAUGAAAAGAAUGACGCAAGAGAACAGGAGGGAAGGAAAUUAUAGAAAAAAUAGAGAAUUGAUAUAGCGACCAAGGAAGUAUAUGAGAAAGAAAUUGCUACAGGGUAAGAAUAAAAAUAGAAUUGAAGAUAAGAAUACAAGCAAUAUGAAGAGCAAGGAAUGUGUUGGAGGAAGCAAAGGAAUUCGAGUGAGGGAAAGCAAAGAGCAAUAAGCGGUAUAAUGAUAAAGGAAGAAUAGGAGCAAGAAAGUGCGAUAGGACAAGAAUACGGGUAAAACUAAAUACAAGACGAUGAAAAUGAAGAAGUAGAAACAUAGAAGGACGCGAAGGAGCAGGAGUGAGGGAAGGAAUUUAGUAAGAAGGGGUAACAUAGGGAUAAAGGUAGUGUAGAAGAAAGUGUGAUAGAGUAAUAAUUAGGAUAAAACUGAAUGCAAGUCGAUGAAAAUGAAGGGCAAGAAAUAUAGGAAGAGGAGUGUGGGAAACCAUAUGAAAAGAAAAUAUAAAAGGGGGCUCGAGACACACAAAAUUGGGCCACAGUAAGAAGACUUUGCAAGGACACUGGUAUAAGGGAAAGGAAAUAAUAACUACCGUAAAGAAAGUGAGAAAAAAAAGAGAGAAAGAAAGAAGGAAAAAGAGGAAUAAAAAACAUGACAGUAAGACAAAAUAAGUAGUAGAAGAAUUAAAGGACCUGUAAAAACGAGAGAAAAAGAAAGAAGGAAAGAAAGAAAAAGAAGGAAAAGAGAAUAAAAGUAUGACAGUCAGACAAAAUAAGUAGAAGAACUGUAAAAACGAGAGGAAGAAAGAA